GUGAACGCUGGCGGUAGGCCUAACACAUGCAAGUCGAACGGCAGCACAGUAAGAGCUUGCUCUUACGGGUGGCGAGUGGCGGACGGGUGAGGAAUACAUCGGAAUCUACUUUUUCGUGGGGGAUAACGUAGGGAAACUUACGCUAAUACCGCAUACGACCUACGGGUGAAAGCAGGGGAUCUUCGGACCUUGCGCGAUUGAAUGAGCCGAUGUCGGAUUAGCUAGUUGGCGGGGUAAAGGCCCACCAAGGCGACGAUCCGUAGCUGGUCUGAGAGGAUGAUCAGCCACACUGGAACUGAGACACGGUCCAGACUCCUACGGGAGGCAGCAGUGGGGAAUAUUGGACAAUGGGCGCAAGCCUGAUCCAGCCAUACCGCGUGGGUGAAGAAGGCCUUCGGGUUGUAAAGCCCUUUUGUUGUGAAAGAAAAGCAGCAGGUUAAUACCCCGCUGUUCUGACGGUACCCAAAGAAUAAGCACCGGCUAACUUCGUG
rnacentral:rRNA from 1 species